UGUAACAGGUUCAGUGCAUUACAGAGAUGCAUGAGCCCUGAGCAUCCAUCACUGGAGCCAUUAGCUGAGUCCCUGUGACUCCUUCUCCCUGUCACUCAUCCGCUGAGCUUGGGAAAAGGCUCAGUCCAGGAGCUGAAGAGGGUCUGAGUCAGCAGGGGAAGAACAGAGACAGAGCUAAGUGGGAGCUGCAGACCACCACAGCAGGGUGCCAACCUCCUUUCCUCCGCCUGAAGGGACUCAUGCCAGAAGGGAUGAAGGAGGCACCAUAUGCUUGGCACAGCCUGCUUGGCUCACUUCGUUUUCAAUGAGCUGCUGUCUGGAGAACGUGGGUGUGGUCUCUCAGAGACUGUGCAGAAUGAGAUGCAUCUCUUGUCCUCAGCAGAGGGAAAGUUUCUGCACCCGGACCACAGGGCACCCUCAGAAAACCAGCUCUCCAGGAACCCAUCAGAUGGGGAAUUGUCAACUGCCAGAGGCUGAGCCAGAGCCACUGAGGACAGGAUCCAGGGAAUGCACACCACAACAGGAGAGGU